CAGCAGCCGCGGUAAUACGAAGGGUGCAAGCGUUACUCGGAAUUACUGGGCGUAAAGCGUGCGUAGGUGGUGGUUUAAGUCCGUUGUGAAAGCCCUGGGCUCAACCUGGGAAUUGCAGUGGAUACUGGGUCACUAGAGUGUGGUAGAGGAUAGUGGAAUUUCCGGUGUAGCAGUGAAAUGCGUAGAGAUCGGAAGGAACAUCUGUGGCGAAGGCGACUAUCUGGGCCAACACUGACACUGAGGCACGAAAGCGUGGGGAGCAAACAGGAUUAGAUACCCCUGUAGUCCCUGUCUCUUAACC
rnacentral:rRNA from 1 species